UUGUCUUCUUUCUUAGAGAAUUUGCACUCUACACACAAGAAAUAUCGCAUAAUUAGCUCUAUACACAUUUUUUGUUUUCAUAGGAAUUGUCGAUUAAUUUAUGACCAUUAUACCCCUAUUGCUUUCUACUCUUCGAUUUUCAUGAUGCCUACAUAUUCUUGUAUAUUCUUUUUUCUGAUAAUCCAAUUCUACAUGAAAUGUAUCUGUGUCAGACAAAUUGAUAUAUUAUAUUAUAUUCAUAAAAUUUCCCCGAACCAAGACACCUCUUCUUCUUCUUUAUAAGUUAUUGUUCGUCCCUUAAAUGAUAUAUAUCAGACAUAACUCUAUUUACUCUGUCUUCUUUGUGUCAAUUGUCCAAUCCAAAUGGAUCCAAGCGGCAGUAAUUAGGAAAGCUUUGGCUGUUCUAUAGUGGCUCGUUGGUUUUAGGCGGAGGCUCUGCUUGAGGACGGUGGAGCAGACAGCCGAUUCCGCAAGUCAAUCAUCGGGAUCCCUAAAGUUUGUCUCGAUUGUUGAGAGGUGCUCGUUUCACGGCGGAUCUAUCCAUAGAGAUGGCGGUUCUCCCGGUGACGACUGUUCGGACUUGUGAGAAGGUGGAGACCCUUCGCAAUCAACGGCGGAAGAGUUCGAGAGUCGGGUGUUCUUUAUGGCUCUGGUGUUAUGUGGCAGCGGGACCCCUUUGAGAUGGCUUAGCUUUGAAGGUACACCGGUGAAGGUUCUAUUAGCUGGCAUGGACACUCUGCUAUAGUGAUGUCCCGGAUACAAUGAUAUGCUGGCAGCGGUGUCUGUCGCAGGUGGCGGCUCCGCCUCUUUCGUCUUCUUCCCCACAACUCCUCUAGUUCGCUUUAGAUUUGUGUGUUUAGGUGUGUUUCUUCUUUUUUCCAUGUAACCUAGCAAUUUCUGUUUCAUCGGAGCUCCGGUCUAUUUAUGUUCAGAUUUCCCCCUAGGGGCUUGAUAUAUAUUUAAGAGAAAGUGGAGUUUUUUUAUUUUUUUGAACUGACUCUCUGUUACAAGUGGAAUUAACAAAUCAAAACAACCAGGCCUCUUGCUAAACUCCCGAUAAAAGAUUAAACAUACUGCUAUCAUCCAAGUUUGAUUACUAAAAUGUUUACCCUUAACAAUAACAAACUAUCAGAUUAACACACCGAGUAACCGACCAACGAAGAUGCAAUCCUGCAUCAGACACUUCAUUACACCAACGGUUACAAGUGAAUUUAGCAAACCAAAACGACGAGAGACAUUGCUAAACUCCCGUUUAACCGUCUCGAGAAAAGAUAAAAUAGAUAAUGCUAUUGUUCAAGGUCUGUUAGAUUGUUACUAAAUUGUUUAGCCUUCACAAACACAAAUUGACUGGCUAACAUAACAAGUAACCGACCAAUGAAGAUGUAACCCUGCAAAUAGACACUUUAUUACUAAAAA